UACGUAGGGGGCAAGCGUUGUUCGGAUUUACUGGGCGUAAAGGGCGCGUAGGCGGCCACCGCAAGUCGACUGUGAAAUCUCCGGGCUUAACCCGGAAAGGUCAGCCGAUACUGCGGGGCUAGAGUGCAGAAGGGGCAACUGGAAUUCUCGGUGUAGCGGUGAAAUGCAUAGAUAUCGAGAGGAACACCUGCGGCGAAGGCGGGUUGCUGGGCUGACACUGACGCUGAGGCGCGAAAGCUAGGGGAGCGAACGGG
rnacentral:rRNA from 1 species